rnacentral:lncRNA from 1 species
GUGGCUGAGCUGUGUGUGCAGAGAGCACCUUUCUCUCUCCUUGGGAAGCCCUUUGAAUGUAGAAACUCUGCAUUCCUCAUUCCUGUGCCCUCCCUCUCCCCAGUGGCUAGGACUUAACACCAAAGGGUGCUCAGGAAACAAAUGGAAGCAGGGCACUAACCAACUCCAGGAGGACUGGGAGCAUGUUUCCCGCUGAAUCCCUGCCAUCUUGACCACUGCCUGGCAAGAGAAGACACUCUACCAACAUUUUUUUAGUGCUGCAUCCCUUGGAGGGCAUGAGGCAAGGCCACGUGAGACACAGUCGGUGCUAGAUUCCUGGAGGCAGAGCUGAGGGUAGGUCUUGAAACCAGCGAGGGUAGCAAGCAGAGGAAGAUGACGAUCCAUUCCUCUUCUGAUCUUCACUAUAAGGGGCACCAAGCCCUGGGUCAUGACAAGGUCUUAUAUUUAGCAUGGACUUGCAACCAAAGGUAAGCUCCACGAGGGCAAGGAUUUAUGGCCUUUUUCUUCCAUGGAUGACUCUGAAACGCCUAGAACAGUACCUGGCACACAGUAGGUGCUCCACUAAUGCUGAAUGAAUGAUGCAUGUGGAAGGCUGAGUCUGGUUCCCACAACACAGUAGUAGCUCAAUAAUGAUAGCAUAUAACAUUAUUAUUUAAUUAUUAUUAAAUUGCCUCAAGCAAUUUUGUGUCCACUGUCUGUCAGGACUGGAUGGGACCAGAUGCCAUUAACUACAUACUCAGUCCUCCCAACAACCAAGUAUAAGGCAGG